rnacentral:rRNA from 1 species
GACGAACGCUGGCGGCGUGCCUAAUACAUGCAAGUCGAGCGAAUCUUUGGGAGCUUGCUCCCAAAGGUUAGCGGCGGACGGGUGAGUAACACGUGGGCAACCUGCCUGUAAGACUGGGAUAACUUCGGGAAACCGGAGCUAAUACCGGAUAAUUCAUUUCCUCUCAUGAGGAAAUGCUGAAAGACGGUUUCGGCUGUCACUUACAGAUGGGCCCGCGGCGCAUUAGCUAGUUGGUGAGGUAACGGCUCACCAAGGCGACGAUGCGUAGCCGACCUGAGAGGGUGAUCGGCCACACUGGGACUGAGACACGGCCCAGACUCCUACGGGAGGCAGCAGUAGGGAAUCUUCCACAAUGGACGAAAGUCUGAUGGAGCAACGCCGCGUGAGCGAUGAAGGCCUUCGGGUCGUAAAGCUCUGUUGUUAGGGAAGAACAAGUACCGGAGUAACUGCCGGU